rnacentral:rRNA from 1 species
AGAAUCAACGCUGGCGGCGUGCCUAACACAUGCAAGUCGAACGAGAAAGUGGAGCAAUCCAUGAGUAAAGUGGCGACCGGGUGAGUAACACGUGACUAACCUACCUUCGAGUGGGGGAUAACCUCGGGAAACCGGGGCUAAUACCGCAUAACAUCUUUGAAGUGGAAAUUUCGGAGAUCAAAGGGGCAAUUCGCUUAAGGAGGGGGUCGCGGCCGAUUAGUUAGUUGGCGGGGUAAUGGCCCACCAAGACUAUGAUCGGUA